rnacentral:misc_RNA from 1 species
AACGCACCUUGCGCUCCUUGGUAUUCCGAGGAGCAUGCCUGUUUGAGUGUCGUGAAAUUCUCAACCUUUCAAGCUUUGUUUCUGAAGCUAGUCAGGCUUGGAUCUUGGGAGUGUGCCGGUUUCUAUCGAGUCGGCUCUCCUUAAAUGCAUUAGCAAGAUUAAUCGCUGUAUUAUCUUUGAUAUGAUAAUUAUCUAUAUCAUAGAUAAAACAACUGUUUUCCUUCAUGGGAAAGAUCUAGCUUUCUAAUCGUCUUUCGAGACAACUAGAUUGAAUCAUUUGACCUCAAAUCAGGUAGGACUACCCGCUGAACUUAA